AAAAAAAAAAAAAAGGGAAAGGAACAGCAAAGAACAAAGUAGAAAAUGGCUGGUAUCUUGCUUUCGGUAGCAUGCAUGAUUGCGGGCUACUUGAUCGAGUACUUAGUUGCUCCCAUUGGACCUAUGGUUGUUGAGUACUUGCUUGGUCCCAUUGCAAGUGCGAUUACUUGUAUCUACUACUACAAGAGCAACUGUCAGGGCCUGAGGAGAGAAAUUGAGAAGUUGAUGCUUGUAAGUGAGAGGGUGAAACAUAUGGUUGAUGAAGCUGAAAGAAAUGGGGAAGAGAUAGAAUCUGAUGUGCAGAAGUGGUUGAAGAGUGUGCGUGAAAUCAUUGAAGAAUCAAACAGAUUUUUCGAGGUUGAAGCAAAUGCACAGAGGAGAAUUUUUUGUGGGUUAUUUCCUAAUUUCAACUCCCACUACCAACUAAGCAAGAAGGCGGUGGAAAUGGUGAAGAUCGUCGAUGAACUCCAGGAAGAUGGUAGAUUUGAUAGAGUUUCCUACUCUGUCACUCCACGUUGGAAAGGGUUUGCGCCUGUUGAAGGUUAUAAGGCCUUCGACUCUAGAAUGUCAACUUCCAGGAAGAUUAUGGCAGCAUUUAGAAAUGAAUCCAUCACCACAAUUGGGGUGUAUGGAAUGGGAGGUGUGGGG
rnacentral:misc_RNA from 1 species